rnacentral:rRNA from 1 species
CAGUAGCCGCGGUAAUACGAAGGGUGCAAGCGUUAAUCGGAAUUACUGGGCGUAAAGGGUGCGUAGGCGGUUGUUUAAGUCUGUUGUGAAAUCCCCGGGCUCAACCUGGGAAUGGCAAUGGAAACUGGGUCACUAGAGUGUGGUAGAGGAUAGUGGAAUUUCCGGUGUAGCAGUGAAAUGCGUAGAGAUCGGAAGGAACAUCUGUGGCGAAGGCGACUAUCUGGGCCAACACUGACACUGAGGCACGAAAGCGUGGGGAGCAAACAGGAUUAGAUACCCCCGUAGUCCCUGUCUCUUAUAA